rnacentral:lncRNA from 1 species
GGAACCGUAAUCUGCAUUUCUUAAAAGAUCUCUAAGAGGGAGGUGGGAAACAAAUGCCAGUGGGCAAGGGCGAAACAGGGAGACAAUUUCAGCAACCAUUUCAGUGCCCUAAGAAGGAGAUGGCGAGGAGUGAAUGAUCUUCGUGGCCUGGCAGGAGGAGCUCACAUUGUUGACAAUUAACCCAAUCCAAGAGACCUGCAUAAAUCAAUCACUACAGGAAAAAAAAAAUUGUUCUUGAUCUACAGUGACAAAUGUGUAGACAAGGUCAGUGGCCUGGGUUUACAACCUUGCUGUCUGAAGUGAGAAUCUGGGGAGGAAGCUGCCAGUAGAAGACAGGGGCAUUUCCAAGAAUUUCCAGAGACCCAUGCUGAGCAACCUGCUUUGCACUGGACAUUCCCACCCUCAGGCCUAUUUCCUUCCCUUGACAUUUGAUGCUCUCUGCACUGGUCCAUUUUGUGUUGCUAUAAAGGAAUACCUGAGACUGGGUAAUUUAUAAGGAAAAGAGGUUUAUUUGAC